UCGAGAAUAGUCUACAAUGGACGGAAGUCUGAUAGUGCGACGCCGCGUGAACGAAGAAUCCCUUCGGGGUGUAAAGUUCUUUUAUACGUGAGCAGUGCCCUUUAUAUGAAUAGUAUAGAGGGAGGGAUUUAAGCGUAUGAAUAAGCAACGGCUAACUCCGUGCCAGCAGCCGCGGUAAUACGGGGGGUGCGAGCGUUGUUCGGAAUCAUUGGGCGUAAAGAGCGCGCAGGCGGCUUGGUGAGUCAGAUGUGAAAGCCCUGGGCUUAACCCAGGAAGUGCAUUUGAUACUGCCUCGCUAGAGUACGGGAGAGGAAAGUGGAAUUCCUGGUGUAGAGGUGAAAUUCGUAGAUAUCAGGAGGAACACCGGUGGCGAAGGCGACUUUCUGGCCCGAUACUGACG
rnacentral:rRNA from 1 species